AGAAAAGCAAGAAAAAAAAACGGAAAAGAGAAAUCGCGACAAAUCACAUGUGUCACUCUAAAAGGCAAUUUGGUAGGUUCCAUCCCAUCCACGGUUUUCUUUUCUUUUCUCUUUUUUUUUGUU
rnacentral:ribozyme from 16 species